rnacentral:lncRNA from 1 species
AUAUAAUUUCUGAGUUUAAAGAGGUAUGCUGUCAAUGCAUUGUCAAAAUGUUAAGCCACUUUGAGGAAAUUAAUUUGCUUCAAGAAAUGGAAUUUGUUGUAAACGACAAUUUCUUGCCAACCACUUGACAAUUGAUCUCGCAUUACAACGAAUGGACUUCUCUUAGCACCUAAACAUCGCGAUAAAAUCAUUAUUUUCCAUACUCAAGCGAAAAUUUUGGUCACUUUACCAAAAACAGUUCGUAUUCAAAAAAGUAAAAGAGCAUGUUCAAUUUACUUUGUCUUUGAGCCAUAUAUUUUCUUUGUAAAACAACCUGGUGUUACGCUUUUGAUUUCUCCGUCAAACUCGUAAAAUUUAUCAUUACAGUUGUUUUACAAUAUUUAUUUUGAAGUAUAAACAUUAUCUUGAAAAGACCAGGUUCUCUUGUUUCCUCAAGAAUUAACUUUUUUAAUGUUAAUUCGUGGGCAAACAAGUUUUUUAAUGUUGUGUUUUCACUUGUGCUUAUUCACUUGUGUUGAACACAAUGUUAAUUGUUGUCUUUGUGCCAUGUUCUGUUUUCUUCUAUUGUUAUUUAAAUAAGUAUGCAGUGGUUGUUCUCUUUUUAUUGUUAUUCAAUUUGUAAUUACAAUUCUUUUCAAUAAAUUGUUCAUUAAUUAUACAAGAGACUCCUUUUUAAUUAAAAAUUCAAUUCCCAUGGGAAUUGAAAAAAAAAAUAAAAAAAAUUCCCCCACCCCGGCCGGCUCCCCAAGUACUACCUCUACUUCAAGCAGAAGUACUUCUACUAUAUAGUAAAAGUACUUCUACUUAAAGUAGAGGUAGCACUCGGAGAGCCAGCCGGGGUAGCGAGGCGAAGAGAAGACCAACCUUGCAAAUGCAAAAUAAUGCAAAUUGCUAAGUCGAUCUUCUCUUGAGAGCAGCCACGCGCAUACCUAGCAAAUGUAAAACAGCAAGCAUUAGUAACAAAUACUCGACAUGCAAAUUUUGAAUCCCAUGGCCGAAAUGACAAGUGCCCCCCACUGAUUCCUAUACCAACUGCCUACCUGCCUCAAUCCUAAGCUGUCUGCCUCAGUUCUAAGCUGUCUGCCUUGGUCCUAAGCUACCUGCAUCCCAUUCGUAACUUCCGCUUUCCUCACCAUCACACAGACACUCGCAACUGCCCAACCGGCCACCAGCCCGAACUGCCCACCCUUAAAACUGAAGGAAUUAAAAUUUUGGUAAAGUAUACAUAAUUAAUUUAGUUAAUCGAAUAUUUUAGGCGAAACGUAAACAGAUAAAUUAAAAGGUUGACAAUCAGACGAAAGACCGCGUUUACAAACAGGUGAGUUUCUUACUUGCCUUUUUGCAUGAAUAUACGAAACCUCAAAAUCCGGAUUUUUCCUUUUAUAUGCUUUCUAGCAGGCUAUAAUUUUUGUUUAAAUAACGAAACUCAACGCAUUUUGCAGAUGUUAUAGGAAAGUAGUCCUUUUUCAAUGUUCAGAAAAGAUAUAUUCUCUCUUUAAAUAUUGCUGUCAAAAUUUUAAUUCCUUUAGUUUAGCCUAACCCCAUGCAUCCUAUACACACGGCGCACACUCUCGCACUCCAUACAUUUAGUUAAUAAAUUACGUUAUAAACAAAAAAUCAAAAUAAAAAGAUAAAUUACGUUAUCACUAGCUAUCCUAUAACCCACUUAGACUGAGUUUUGGAUUCUGGUUCGAAACGUAAGAUCUCAACUGAAAGGGCAUGGGCUUGAGUUUUGUUAACUGGUCCGAAAUAAAUACAAACCUUAAACUUACCUAAACCAAAGGCUCGCUUAAAUAAGCAUGAGAAUGCAUAUAAUUGUUUUUUCAUAGGAGUUUAAAAUCCAAACGAAAAUUACAAUGUCGCUAAUUUAGUGAGCAUAUAGUACUGUUUGUCUAUAUAGUUCAAACAGAUCGAACGCAAUUCUCAUACUCAUUUAACCGGAACGCCUUGAUGAUCAUUUGCAUGGCACGUCGCAGCUGCUCUCAGUAACAAGAUACUUAUCAUAUUUCAUCAAAGAGGAUUCAUUAUAAUAUUCAAAUUUCCACUAUGAAAUCAACAUGAAAACAAAGCAUAGCAUAUUCCCCUGGGAAUUAAAAAUACGGAAAAAAUAAAAUUGCCAAAUACCUUUUUGCUUGCGCAAAAUAAAAAAAAUUAGCAUAAAAAACAAAGGAUAGUAUAUUCCCAUGGGAAUUAAACACACGAAAAAUAAUCCACUUAUUCUUAACUUUUUAACGCUUGAAAUAGGCGGGUUGCUUGUUUUCAUCGUAUGUUGAUUUCAUUGUGACUUAUCCCAUAGUUAACAGAAUAUAAACUUGGGUAGGGACAGCAUCUGACAGCUAUGAUUUUAUUAUCAGCACCAACUGACGAUGAAAAAAAGAAAAUGCUUGGUGCUAGACUCCAAGCCAUGUUUAUUUCAC